CAGGAAGUCUAGCAUGAGCCUUGUUCACUGCUGUUUUCCUUAGAUGGCUUUGUCAAACUUGUAUUUGUCCCUGGGGUAAAGGGCUUCAAUGCUGAGCAUCGAGCAUAAGGAGUUGGAGAAAGAGAUGUGGGUGAUUUACCUCUGCCAUAGAUAUCGGAUUGGCAAAAAUAAAUGAAUUUCAUCUGAAGAGAAUUAACACAAGCAUACACAUAUACACAGGAGUGCACAUAAAAAUUAAUCUUCAAGAGGAUAGAAACAGGGGAUGGUGUAGUUCCUGCCAUGAAGUACAGAUCAACUGGUACCAGAGAUUCAAAAUUGUGGAAUGGAUCAUGGGGAUUUCUCUCUUCCCUGUCAUAAAGAGUAAUUCAAUCAGGAAAACUGACAUGCAUUGUUGUAUUGUGGGUGCAACAGCUGAGAAGAUGAAAAAGACAUAGAGAAAGGGGAUAUUGGAAAUAAAAGGAUGUUAAAAUGAUAUAAUUUUUAAGAAGGUUGAGAAGGAAUAUGGGAUAUUUAUAUUCCUCUAAAUUUGAUAGAUAAUGAUGUCCACAAAGAAGAGUUUGCUGAAAUAAUUUUAAAUUUUGGUGAGCACAGACUAUCAAUGCCAAACGCAAUGGGUAAUUUUCUGUGUCAGCUUGGCUAGGCUGUGAUCUCCAAGUGUUUGUUCAAACAGCAAUCGUAGAUGUCCUUGUGAAGGUAUUUUUAGGUAAGAUUAACAUUUAAAUCAGUAGUCUUUGAGUAAAGCAGAUGACCUGCAAUAAUGUGAGUGGGUCUCAAAUUUGUUUUAAGUUGAAGGCCUUAAGAGAGAAAGAUUAAGGUCAUCCAUGAAAGAGGGAAUUCUGCUACCAGAUUGCAUUUGGACUCAAGCUGCAAUAUCAGCUCUUCCCUGGGUCUCCAACCUGACAGCCUGUCCUAUAGAUAAGAGCUUGCCAGUCCCCACAAUCACAUGACACAUGAGCCAGUCCUUUUUUUUUUAGCCAAUUCUUUAAAAUUCUUCUCCUCUCUCUCUCUCUCUCUCCCCCGCCUCUCCCUCUCUCUCUCCCUUCUUUCUCUGUGUAUACACAUGCACGCGUGCACGCGCGCACACACACACACACACACACACACUCAUCCUAUUAGUUCCGUUUCUCUGGAGAACCCAGACUAAUGUACUUCCUCAGUAAUUGUUUUAGCAUUCUGGAUUCUGUUACUUUACUAUCAGCCUUAAAAUUGCAAAAAGAAGAAGGAAAGUUUUAUCAACCAUUUCAGACACUAAGUUUUCAGCCUUUUGGGAUCAAGGAAAAUACAAUCCAUAUGUUUUGGACUCACUUGCUAUUAUCCAGAACAUUAUAUCGGAGAUGGUUUAAAAUUUCUGGCUGGUUCAAUAUACGCAAAUCAAUAAAUGUAAUCCAGCAUAUAAACAGAACCAAAGACAAAAACCACAUGAUUAUCUCAAUAGAUGCAGAAAAAGCCUUUGACAAAAUUCAACAACACUUCA
rnacentral:lncRNA from 1 species